CUGCUAACUUCAGCUAAGAGUAUUUGCCAUAUUUUCGGGAGAUUUAGGCAAGAUGUGGUGGGAAAUAAUCCCCGGUUUGGCCAUUAUUUGUGGAUGUGUAACUGCUGUAGGUGGUCUUACUAUAACUGUACAGAAAUUGCAGCAUGGCGGAAAGGCAAGGAGAACAGCCUACACACGAUUCGACUACACAAUGAUCAUGAGAGAUAAGAAAAUUGCAGGCAAAUACUGGAAAGCAAAGGGACUCGAGUCAUUAGCCGGUGUGAAUGUAAAGUAGACACCUCCAGUAUGCUGUUUGCAAUUCCUCUCCUUCAUCUACAAUGCUUUGCCAGGAGACCUGCCCAACAGAACAUUAAAAUAUCUACCAGAUCUGAGACAUCCUUUUAUGCAGUGGAUUGACAAUUCAACAUGCCUAUGGGAAAUGAUGGUUCAUCAUCAUGGAGUCACUUUAUCUGACAUAAAUCAUUUUACUUCCUUCAUUGAUAUUUUGUGAGCUUAUGGAGCUAUGUAAUAUGCCCAGUUGUCCAUCCUUAAUUAACAUCAGGUACUUUCAAAAGAACAAUUUGAAGAAAAAAACAACACAUAAACAUCAAUAGUUUAGUCAACUUUAGUGUUGUACAUAUGAAUGUACCUGUAUUCUUAACCUGAAAGUGGGAUGUUCAUUGCAACCCUUUUGUUUUUGAAAAUAAAUUCCAUUAUUUCCAUAUAUAUAAUUUAGUCUCUUUUAUCAAGAGAAAAUGGUUUAGUACAGAAAUUUAUCAUUAAGCUUAUAAUUUUUGCAAUUCCCAUAUUGAUUUGUGUCAUUACAUGUAAUUUGAGGUUAACUCAAUGGAAAUUCUGCCGUAUAGCUGUAAAAUUGUGUGAAACAGUGAGAAAAGGAAUCAACCCUUAAUUCUACCAAAGAAUACAAUCAAUUUCUAAAGAGCCAUAUCUCGCAGAUUCUGUUAAUGUGGCAGGGUACUUGCAUGUGCACUGUGCAAGCUGGAAUCUCAGCGACUGCUGUGAUUCAUGUACAUGUACUUUAUGGCAAAUACAUGUUCAUGUACCCUAACAUUCUCUGUUUGGAACCAGAAGGGCAUUUACUCUGUACAAAAUAAUACAAGUUAACACCCUACUGGCUCCAAACAGCUGUUAUGUCAUUCAUGUUGUUCAUGGAAGAGGAUAUUAUUGAUGUGGGUUUAUACACUAGCAAGUGCAUUUGUGGUGAAACAUUUUCCUUGUGUAAUAUAUGAUGGAUAUUUGCCAUAUUUGAUAUGGACACUUUCUCUGCUUUUCUCAAGAAAAAGAGAGUGUAUGAUGUUGAUGUGGCCAGUAAAUAUAUAGUUAUUGAAAUAUA